rnacentral:rRNA from 1 species
GGUCAAGCUACAAAGAGUCAAUGCACGGAUGACUUGGUUAGGUGAGGCGAAGAAGGACGGGGUAAGCACCGAUAUGCCUCGGGGAGCCGCAAACUGGCUUUGAUCCGAGGAAUUCCGAAUGGGGCAACCCAUCAUGGGUUAUACCAUGAUAUUCCCUAGUUGAAUUCAAUAGACAUGGGAAAGCGAUACCAGGCGAACUGAAACAUCUAAGUACCCUGAGGAAAAGAAAUCACCGAGAUUCCCCUAGUAGUGGCGAGCGAAGCGGGAACAGUCUAAACCUUUUUUCCGCAAGGAAAAAAGGGGUUGCGGGACCUCGAUGUGGGAUUGUCUUAGGAUAGCAGAAGUAUCUGGAAAGAUACGCCAAAGAGAGUGAAAGCCUCGUAAGCGAAAUUUUAAGACACCCUAGAGGUAUCCCAAGUAACACGGGACACGGGAAAUCCUGUGUGAAUCUGGGCCGACCACGGUCUAAGACUAAAAACUACACCUAAACCGAUAGUGCACAAGUACCGUGAGGGAAAGUUGAAAAGAACGCUGGUGAAGCGAGUGAAAUAGAACCUAAAAUCAUUGACUUACAAGCUGUGGGAGGGCUAUGCUAUUGGCGCAAGCUAAUAGAAUGCCUGACCGCGUACCUUUUGUAUAAUGGUCCGACGAGUUACUGUGCGGUGCAAGCUUAAUCUUGCCAUGAAAGUGUCAAGAGGAGGCGAAGCGAAAGCGAGUCCUAACUGGGCGAUUUAGUACCGUAUAGUAGACCCGAAGCUGAGUGAUCUAUCCAUGGUCAGCGCGAAGCUCUCCGAAAGGAGAGUGGAGGUGCGAACCCUUCAGUGUUGAAAAACUGUGGGAUGAACUGUGGAUUGGAGCGAAAGACUAAACAAACUCAGAAAUUGCUGGUUCUCCCCGAAAUAUUUCUAGGGAUAGCCUCGGAUAAAUAAAUAGUAGGGGUAGGGUGCUGAAUGGGCUACGGGAGCAUACUAGCUUGCUGAGCCCAACCAAACUUCGAAUACUACUAUUUUUAUUCCGGGAGUAAGACAAUGGGGGCUAAGCUUCAUUGUCAAAAGGGUAUCAGCCCAGACUGUCAGCUAAGGUCCCUAAGGAUAGGCUAAGUGGUAAAGGAUGUGAAUUCACUAAAACAACCAGGAUGUUGGCUCAGAGGCAGCCAUCAUUUAAAGAGUGCGUAACAGCUCACUGGUCGAGUGAUUUCGCGCCGAAGAUGAUCGGGGCUUAAGCCUAUUACCGAAGCUGCAGAUUAGUUUUGCCUUUGGGCAAGACUAGUGGUAGGGGAGCAUUGUCUAGUUGGUUGAAGCUGUACCGUUAGGAGCAGUGGACACUAGACAAGGGAUUAUGUCGGAAUAAGUAGCGAAAAUGCCUGCGAGAAACGGGCACACCGAAAUUCUAAGGUUUCCUGGGGAAGGUUAAUCCGCCCAGGGUUAGUCGAUCCUAAGCUGAGGCCGUAUGGCGUAAGCGAUGGACAAUCUGUUAAUAUCCAGAUACUAGUUAUGAAGCGUUAUCACCUCUUGUUUGACGCAGGAGGCUGAGGGCUGCGCAGUGUUGGAUGUCUGCGUUCUCUGUUCCGGAAGGGACGGAGGGGACUUUGAGCGAAAGCGAUGAGGAAGUAUUCUUAAGCCAUGCUGCCGAGAAAAUUGCAAGUGGGAGUAGCAUAACUACUCGUACCGGAAUCCGACACAGGUAGAACUCCAGAAUAUGGUAAGGUGAUCGAGAUAACUCACGUUAAGGAACUCUGCAAACUAGCCCCGUACGUUAGCAAUAAGGGGUACCCUGGGGGUCGCAAGGCCUCUUCAGGGUCACAGUAAAGUGGAUCGGGUGACUGUUUAGCAAAAACACAUCACUCUGCAAACUCGAAAGAGGAAGUAUAGGGUGUGACACCUGCCCGGUGCUGGAAGGUUAAGGGGAUUAGUCAACGGAUCGUAAGAUUUGUGAAGCUUUGAACCGAAGCCCCAGUAAACGGCGGCCGUAACUAUAACGGUCCUAAGGUAGCGAAAUUCCUUGUGGGGUAAGUUCCCACGCGCACGAAUGGUGUAACGAGUUGGGCGCUGUC